CUGCAUAUAUCAUAAAUUGCUAUUGCAAAUAGAAGUAUCUGUGAUCUUUGUGAUAUGACUUUCUUUAAUUAAGCACGUACUGAUGAAACUGUCACUUAAUAUUUUUUUUCUUUAAGUCUACAAACACUACAUUUAUUCACUCUGUGAUAGGGUUGGAUCCUAUAUGCUACUUUUAUUAUUGUCCUGUAAAUGGUUCAGUGUCUAUAAUUUAGGCUGUGUGUAGAAUGGGGCAUAAAGGAAAUUAACUCUACUAGGUUAUAGUGAUAAGGAAAUCAGCAUACAGUUUUGUUUGGCCUGUGUAUUCAUUUGCCUAUAACUAAUCAGAAUCCCAUUAUGUUUACAUAAAAAAGAGAAUACUUCAAAAUGAGAAGAUCCUGCCAUGGAAAAGACAACUGGGUGGACAUAAAGUAGAAAGGAGGGAAAUAACUCACACCAUGCAGCAGGACACCUUCAGCUGGGGGUCUUUGUAAUGCAGGUUUGAUAGUUAUAUUUUCAAUGAUGAAUGGUUAGCUGUUAUGUGACAAUUAGGUCAAACAACUCUAUUUUAUCCCCUCCCAAAUUGAUAUAGAACCUUCGCAAAAACACAUGGAGCAACUGCAAAAAGAAAUGGCUGAGGAUAUAUUCAAAAUGUCAGAGUUCAACAAAGCCAACAACUGCUUCAUGUUUGCCACUGAUAAAGAACCCUGGAUGUGGGCCAAAGACUGACUGGGUUAGUAACUUUAUUUAACAUGUUUAUAAUCUUUUGCCAACAGUGACGGCAUGUAAGACAAUUUAUGAUAUAACACAAUGGAUGGCUAAUUUGUCAUACUGCAUUGAUAUUUGAUAUUAUUUAUAACAUGUUACGCUUUGUUUUGUUUUAGACUGAAUGUUUUGCAUGCCAACAGUGAUUCCAUGUGCUGUGCCUACGAAUGAAGACAAGAGUUCAGAGUGAAGAAACUGGAACUGGAAGUGAUGUCUUUGUUGUUGAAAAUGUAUGCUAUACCCCAUCCACACUGAAGAGGCUCUGAAAUGUACAUCAACUAGGGAUAAAGAGAAAGUUAACACUGUGAAAUGUUUCAUACUUAAUUUAAGUUAAGUGUCUGUUGACAUGUUGGAAAAUAUUAAAGGUCUACAAUUUCUGCUU